AGUGAACGCGGCGGCGUGCCUAAUACAUGCAAGUCGAACGGAGAUUAAGUAGCUUGCUAUUUAAUCUUAGUGGCGCACGGGUGAGUAAUAUAUAGCUAACUUGCCCAUUACUAAGGGACAACAGUUGGAAACGACUGCUAAUACCUUAUACUCCGUAUCUAUACAAGUAGGUACGGGAAAGUUUUUCGGUAAUGGAUAGGGCUAUAUCGUAUCAGCUAGUUGGUAAGGUAAUGGCUUACCAAGGCUAUGACGCGUAACUGGUCUGAGAGGAUGAUCAGUCACACUGGAACUGAGACACGGUCCAGACUCCUACGGGAGGCAGCAGUAGGGAAUAUUGCUCAAUGGGGGAAACCCUGAAGCAGCAACGCCGCGUGGAGGAUGACACUUUUCGGAGCGUAAACUCCUUUUCUUGGGAAAGAAUUAUGACG
rnacentral:rRNA from 1 species